rnacentral:lncRNA from 1 species
AGAAGAAGGCGCACCUGAUCUGACAGGUAAGCUCCUGUCAUUUAAUACCUCCAUGUCUUUCCGAUAAACCUAAAAGGAUUCGCAUUCGUAGCUAAAAGAGGCAGAAUAAGCCACCUGAAAAGAAGACAUGAAAGAUUUGGAAAAGGAAGCCAUAGAACGCAUGAAACAAGACCAUUGCAUGCCCAGAAAAGAUCAGUACCAUAAGCUUAAAAUAGAGCUUGAUAGCUUAAAAAACAACAAACCAAUACCAUAAGUAAGUGGAUAGCAUAGUAGCAACUCAGACCAACGUUGGCAACAUCAAAAGAGGGCAAGACACUAGUGCACUAUAUAGAUAGGAUAGCUCUUCUGUCAGUCACCUGACCUUUUGA